GGUAAAAGUCGUAACAAGGUUUCCGUAGGUGAACCUGCGGAAGGAUCAUUAUCAUGUAAUUCAGUCCCCUUGGCUGUGUUAUAUAUAUACCCACUCUGUGUACCUUCUCCUGUUGCUUCCGCUGGGUGUGUAAUUCGCCCGGCGGAAGGGUAAAAAUAACCUCUGAGUAUUGAUGAAAUCUCUGUCUGAACCGAAUAGAAAGAAAAAUGUUAAAACUUUCAGCAACGGAUCUCUUGGUUCUC
rnacentral:misc_RNA from 1 species